UACGGGGGGGGGCAAGCGUUGUUCGGAAUUACUGGGCGUAAAGGGCGCGUAGGCGGCCGCCUAAGUCAGACGUGAAAUCCCUCAGCUUAACUGGGGAACCUGCGUGUGAUACUGGAUGGCUUGGAUUUGGGAGAGGGAUGCGGAAUUCCAGGUGUAGCGGUGAAAUGCGUAGAUAUCUGGAGGAACACCGGUGGCGAAGGCGGCAUCCUGGACCAAUAUUGACGCUGAGGAGCGAAAGCCAGGGGAGCAAAGCGGGAUUAGCAAA
rnacentral:rRNA from 1 species